UCAGGAUGAACGCUGGCGGCGUGCUUAACACAUGCAAGUCGAGCGAGAAGCUCGUGAACGAUCUCGGAUGAGUGAUCGAGUGGAAAGCGGCGGACGGGUGAGUAACGCGUAGGCAACCUGCCCCAUACAAAGGGAUAGCUACUGGAAACGGUAAUUAAUACCUCAUAACACGGAGAGACCGCAUGAUCUUUCCGUCAAAGAUUUAUCGGUAUGGGAUGGGCCUGCGUCUGGAUUAGCUGGUUGGUGGGGUAACGGCCCACCAAGGCGACGAUCAGUAGCCGACCUGAGAGGGUAAACGGCCACAUUGGAACUGAGACACGGUCCAAACUCCUACGGGAGGCAGCAGUGGGGAAUAUUGCACAAUGGGGGGAACCCUGAUGCAGCAACGCCGCGUGAGCGAAGAAGGCCUUUGGGUCGUAAAGCUCUGUCCUGAAGGAAGAAGGAAGUGACGGUACUUCAGGAGGAAGCCCCGGCUAACUACGUGCCAGCCGCCGC
rnacentral:rRNA from 1 species